rnacentral:lncRNA from 1 species
CCAUCUACAGGAGAAGCACAACAGGAAGGGAUAUAGCGCGACAAAUCCUAUUUUACUGUCCCCGUUUCCCGGUUUCCACAUCGCGGCGACUCGAUCCGCUGCUCUCGGGCACGGCGCUCUUGAAUGAGUCAGAUUUAUCGAGGGACAAGACUGGCAAGCGCUCCUCCGUGUCGAUCUUCGACCGAGGUAGGUAAGAUAACCCUUCCCAUCCGUUUCUUUUCUCUUGCUCUCUUCCAAGUUCUGUUACGCUUCUACAGCUAGGUUGUGAGAGCUAGGAAAAGUACAGAGACGUUAAGAACACUAGACGCUCCCAUUCAGUCGACGAUGGAGGUUUUCUUCGUCCUUGCGAUAUCCAACUCCUGUCGCUAAGCAGACCCGCGACACAUCAACUCCUCGCCCCAAACCCCCUCCUCUUGACCAUUUGUGUCUUUAUGUUCUUAUAUUAUGUUAAUAAAACCAUGUACUAAUACUUUCGUUCUGGUAUUGCCAUUGGCAAAAGAAGUUUAAUACACCUGAGCGUUGUUUUGUUCUUGAUCAGAUGUAUGGACGUGCCUAUAGCUAAACAUAAAAAUAGGAUAGACACUAAAUUCCUUAAAGCUGCAGAAAUUGGGAACUACACAGAAGCACACUGGACUAACAGUAUAUUUACUCGAAAGUACAUUUCUACACCCAGGAGCAAAUGCUCCUGGUAUGAAUAGUAAAAUAAAAAAAAAUAAAAAUAUUCAAAAAAAUGCUCCCAUUCAGAAUUUUUUAAAUUAUUUUUGAAUUUAUUUAAUGUUACUGUUCACACCAGGAGCAUUUGCUCCUGGGUGUAGAAACUCCACGUCCUUUAUUUACUAUCAUGUUUUCGUGAAUAGAGUAGUGACAAUAAGAUUUGUACUUGAUGUACAGAGUUUCAAUUCUCACAGUAUAUGAGUUGUAUUUGAUCUUUUAUAUGAUCUCAACUUUACUAUUCCCGGUCAACGUAUGUUUUGCCAGAUUACUAUUAACACAACUUUGUUUCUCCCAGAGCGCUGGUAGCAACCACAUCAUGAAAGGGUUGACGAACGACGAUCCGAUAUGCGUCGCUCACAGCGAAGGUUAAAUUUCAGUGCACUAUCUUGCAGCACGAUCAUUUUGUACUUGCCACCAUUUCUGUGCUAUUUAUGUAACAUCCUAAUUCUCGCUCCCUCUGUCGCUCUAUGAUGGAUGUUUUACUGGAACGCGAUAUUGGAAUGUUUUGUCUGAUUGCUUCUUCAUGUAAUUGUUCUUCUAUUGAUAUUUUAAAGUUUUCCUCUCAUUAAUGAGUGUAGACGGAUCGAUAAAGCAAAUUCUUCGAAUGAACAAGCUAAUCUCAUUUUCCGUUGCAACUAGGAAUUUCUAUGGAUAAUUAUGCUAAUAAAUGAGAACAUGGGUGCAUAUAUGUAGUUUUCAAG